GCGGAAGGACGACCUUUUCGCUUCCCUGUAUGGCGCGGGACGGCCCGC
rnacentral:ncRNA from 1 species